GAGUUCAGGGGUUCUGGGCUGCAGUGGACUAUGUCGAUCAAUAUGGUGCUCCUGGGGGAGCUUCGGACCACCAGGUCGUUUAAGGGGGGGUGAACCGGCCCAGGUCGGAGACGGAGCAGGUCAAAGCCCCCGUGCCGAUCAGUAGUUGGGUCGCGCCUGUGAAUAGACACUGCAGUACAGCCUGAGCGAGA
rnacentral:SRP_RNA from 12 species